rnacentral:rRNA from 1 species
UACGUAGGGUGCAAGCGUUGUCCGGAAUUAUUGGGCAUAAAGAGCUCGUAGGCGGUUUGUCGCGUCUGCUGUGAAAUCUGGAGGCUCAACCUCCAGCCUGCAGUGGGUACGGGCAGACUAGAGUGCGGUAGGGGAGAUUGGAACUCCUGGUGUAGCGGUGGAAUGCGCAGAUAUCAGGAAGAACACCGAUGGCGAAGGCAGAUCUCUGGGCCGUAACUGACG